ACUCCUACGGGAGGCAGCAGUGGGGAAUAUUGCACAAUGGGCGCAAGCCUGAUGCAGCAACGCCGCGUGAGCGAUGAAGGCCUUCGGGUCGUAAAGCUCUGUCCUCAAGGAAGAAUAAAUGACGGUACUUGAGGAGGAAGCCCCGGCUAACUACGUGCCAGCAGCCGCGGUAAUACGUAGGGGCAAGCGUUAUCCGGAAUCACUGGGCGUAAAGGGUGCGUAGGCGGUUUUUCAAGUCAGAAGUGAAAGGCUAUGGCUCAACCAUAGUAAGCUUUUGAAACUGUUAAACUUGAGUGCAGGAGAGGAAAGUGGAAUUCCUAGUGUAGAGGUGAAAUUCGUAGAUAUUAGGAGGAACACCAGUGGCGAAGGCGACUUUCUGGACUGUAACUGACGCUGAGGCACGAAAGCGUGGGAGCGAACAGGAUUAGAUACCCUGGUAGACUGUCA
rnacentral:rRNA from 1 species